rnacentral:rRNA from 1 species
UUAAAUUGAAGAGUUUGAUCAUGGCUCAGAUUGAACGCUGGCGGCAGGCCUAACACAUGCAAGUCGAACGGUAACAGGAAACAGCUUGCUGUUUUGCUGACGAGUGGCGGACGGGUGAGUAAUGUCUGGGAAACUGCCUGAUGGAGGGGGAUAACUACUGGAAACGGUAGCUAAUACCGCAUAAUGUCGCAAGACCAAAGAGGGGGACCUUCGGGCCUCUUGCCAUCGGAUGUGCCCAGAUGGGAUUAGCUAGUAGGUGGGGUAACGGCUCACCUAGGCGACGAUCCCUAGCUGGUCUGAGAGGAUGACCAGCCACACUGGAACUGAGACACGGUCCAGACUCCUACGGGAGGCAGCAGUGGGGAAUAUUGCACAAUGGGCGCAAGCCUGAUGCAGCCAUGCCGCGUGUAUGAAGAAGGCCUUCGGGUUGUAAAGUACUUUCAGCGGGGAGGAAGGGAGUAAAGUUAAUACCUUUGCUCAUUGACGUUACCCGCAGAAGAAGCACCGGCUAACUCCGUGCCAGCAGCCGCGGUAAUACGGAGGGUGCAAGCGUUAAUCGGAAUUACUGGGCGUAAAGCGCACGCAGGCGGUUUGUUAAGUCAGAUGUGAAAUCCCCGGGCUCAACCUGGGAACUGCAUCUGAUACUGGCAAGCUUGAGUCUCGUAGAGGGGGGUAGAAUUCCAGGUGUAGCGGUGAAAUGCGUAGAGAUCUGGAGGAAUACCGGUGGCGAAGGCGGCCCCCUGGACGAAGACUGACGCUCAGGUGCGAAAGCGUGGGGAGCAAACAGGAUUAGAUACCCUGGUAGUCCACGCCGUAAACGAUGUCGACUUGGAGGUUGUGCCCUUGAGGCGUGGCUUCCGGAGCUAACGCGUUAAGUCGACCGCCUGGGGAGUACGGCCGCAAGGUUAAAACUCAAAUGAAUUGACGGGGGCCCGCACAAGCGGUGGAGCAUGUGGUUUAAUUCGAUGCAACGCGAAGAACCUUACCUGGUCUUGACAUCCACAGAACCUUGUAGAGAUACGAGGGUGCCUUCGGGAACUGUGAGACAGGUGCUGCAUGGCUGUCGUCAGCUCGUGUUGUGAAAUGUUGGGUUAAGUCCCGCAACGAGCGCAACCCUUAUCCUUUGUUGCCAGCGGUCCGGCCGGGAACUCAAAGGAGACUGCCAGUGAUAAACUGGAGGAAGGUGGGGAUGACGUCAAGUCAUCAUGGCCCUUACGACCAGGGCUACACACGUGCUACAAUGGCGCAUACAAAGAGAAGCGACCUCGCGAGAGCAAGCGGACCUCAUAAAGUGCGUCGUAGUCCGGAUUGGAGUCUGCAACUCGACUCCAUGAAGUCGGAAUCGCUAGUAAUCGUGGAUCAGAAUGCCACGGUGAAUACGUUCCCGGGCCUUGUACACACCGCCCGUCACACCAUGGGAGUGGGUUGCAAAAGAAGUAGGUAGCUUAACCUUCGGGAGGGCGCUUACCACUUUGUGAUUCAUGACUGGGGUGAAGUCGUAACAAGGUAACCGUAGGGGAACCUGCGGUUGGAUCACCUCCUUACCUUAAAGAAGC